UACGUAGGGGGCUAGCGUUGUCCGGAAUCAUUGGGCGUAAAGCGCGUGUAGGCGGCCCGGUAAGUCCGCUGUGAAAGUCGGGGGCUCAACCCUCGAAAGCCGGUGGAUACUGUCGGGCUCGAGUACGGAAGAGGCGAGUGGAAUUCCUGGUGUAGCGGUGAAAUGCGCAGAUAUCAGGAGGAACACCGGUGGCGAAGGCGGGUCUCUGGGCCGAUACUGACGCUGAGGAGCGAAAGCGUGGGGAGCGAACAGG
rnacentral:rRNA from 1 species